rnacentral:rRNA from 1 species
GCAGCAGCCGCGGUAAUACGAAGGGUGCAAGCGUUAAUCGGAAUUACUGGGCGUAAAGCGUGCGUAGGCGGUGAGUUAAGUCUGCUGUGAAAUCCCCGGGCUCAACCUGGGAAUGGCAGUGGAUACUGGCUCGCUAGAGUGUGUCAGAGGAUGGUGGAAUUCCCGGUGUAGCGGUGAAAUGCGUAGAGAUCGGGAGGAACAUCAGUGGCGAAGGCGGCCAUCUGGGACAACACUGACGCUGAAGCACGAAAGCGUGGGGAGCAAACAGGAUUAGAUACCCCCGUAGUCCCUGUCUCUUAUAC